rnacentral:lncRNA from 1 species
UGUAGGUGGAGGUAUAGAGGUAUGGGACUGCAGGUGGAGGUAUAGAGGAAUGGAACUGCAGGUGGAGGUAUAGUGGUAUGGGACUGCAGGUGGCGGUAUAGAGGUAUGGGACUGUAGGUGGAGGUAUAGAGUUAUGGGACUGCAGGUGGAGGUAUAGAGGUAUGGGACUGUAGGUGGAGGUAUAGAGGUAUGGGACUGUAGGUGGAGGUAUAGAGGUAUGGGAGUGUAGGUGGAGGUAUAGAGGUAUGGGACUGUAGGUGGAGGUAUGGGACUGUAGGUGGAGGUAUGGGACUGUAGGUGGAGGUAUAGAGGUAUGGGACUGUAGGUGGAGGUAUAGAGGUAUGGGAUUGUAGGUGGAGGUAUAGAGGUAUGGGACUGUAGGUGGAGGUAUGGGACUGUAGGUGGAGGUAUAGAGGUAUGGGACUGUAGGUGGAGGUAUAGAGGUAUGGGAUUGUAGGUGGAGGUAUAGAGGUAUGGGACUGUAGGUGGAGGUAUGGGACUGUAGGUGGAGGUAUAGAGGUAUGGGACUGUAGGUGGAGGUAUAGAGGUAUGGGACUGUAGGUGGAGGUAUAGAGGUAUGGGACUGUAGGUGGAGGUAUAGAGGUAUGGGACUGCAGGUGGAGGUAUAGAGGUAUGGGACUGUAGGUGGAG